GAAGAAGGUGCUUGUUUCUUCUUUGCCUUCUGCCAUGAUUGCCAUGUGAAUCGCACCCCUGGAACUGUGCAGGGCCCACCUGUGUGGCCACACGCAGUGACCCUGAGCAAAGGAGUGACCACAGAAGUGCAUGGCAAAGCAGAAAGGUGUGACGUCUUGGAGGACGCGGGAGGAAAGCACGCCCAGCGGACAGGAGCCAUCACGCGGCUGCGGGCUGCUGCUGAGAACCUGGCGUGGGCCACCGUCGUCAGCAGCGUGGAGGACACUUGUUAUUGCAGUCAGAGUCCAUCUGGAUAAUCCUGGAUAAAUCUCAUCUGGAGAUCCUUCACCAGAUCACAUCGGCAAUGACCUGUUCCCCAAAUAAGGCCCUGUGCACAGGUUCUGGGGUGCUAGGAGUGAGCCACCAUGCCUGGCCCAGUUUUUAAUGCUUGGACAUCUCCAAAAUCAGGACAUAUCUUGUAAUUGAAGACGUCUCACCAUAGCGGCCAGCCGUGCAACCACUGGGCCUGUCUGUGCCUGAACAACACACUGGCCUGCCUUUGCCUGAACAAGACAGCCUUAGUCUCAAAGCUUGCAGAUGGGUGUGGCCUGGUAGAAAAUUCUCAAGACAACGGCGGAGCACGCUUGCCCCUAGGAGACCAAGUGGCCGGAAUGUUGAGAAUCAGCCUUUCGCAGAAAUCCCCUAAGCGGGAGGCAGCAGGCUGACUCCAUCAGCCCCAGGCAGGCUUCUGGGCCCUGCAGCUAUGGCUCUUCAUCCUUUUACAUGUUCUUCGAGAAUCAGCUGCACCCUGGAUGCUUCUGACAGCUCAGAGGACAUCAGCAUGAGGACAAGCACAGGGCUUGAUGGCUCGGAGGGAAAUGGAGUUGGAAGAUUUGGACUUAAUGUGCACACAUUUUAGAAAUAUCUUAACAAAUUUUAUUUUGCUGAUAUCUUUCUUUUUUGUGUGUGCCAAAGUGAUGGCCAGUACAAAUCCAUGUCUAAUUAAGUCCAGAAGAGCUCCUUCAAUAAGCGUAAGAUGAAAGUUAUGAGUGAUAAGAAAGCGUCAUGUCAGUUUAAUUGGCAGCAUUUUCUCUUUCUUAGUGGUUCAUAAAAUAAGGCAGUGCUUUGCUAUCGACGGUGUCUGAAAUUCUGUGAAUAUUCAAAGUUAAAUCUCAUGCUGAACAGCCACUGUGCGCAAGGCGGGUGA
rnacentral:lncRNA from 1 species